CUCUCAAAGCCCCCAGGAGUUUGUAAGGCAAUUACAGAUGACUGGGAAGAACGUGCUGACUCUGGUGUCUGCACUUUAUCUGUGAAAUUUCUCCUUCCUCUCCGAUAAUCAUCAGUUGUUUGCUUUGGUUGGAGGCAACACAGUUACCUCAGAUAUUUAAUUGGUGCAAACGGCAUGAGAGGAACAUCUCGUCAGGUUGGUCAUCCCUCGGCGCUCUUCGGCCCACCCGUGUUCCUGGUUCUGCGGUGGACCGGCUCGUCCUCCAUCACACGUGAUCCUGAGGAAAUCUGGAGCAGAAACGGUUGAUCAAAGCCCAGGCAGAAUGAAAUCUGAUGUUAGACGAAAAACACGAUGAUGAGGAUUUCCUAUUUACCGCUGCACCUUCCGUCAGAUUGAGAGAUACACUGAAGAACGGAAGAGACGUCCUUUGAAAUGUCUGCUGGGGUGAGGCUUGUGGCCUUCAGGGGACCAAAAAACUGCUUAGAGAGACAUAGAAGAGGAAAAGCUGAGAGAGCGCAGGCUGGGUUUGGAGUGACAACAAAAGAGGUUUAAAAAAAAUCAAUUACUGGACGUCCGAGGGGAACUAAGAGACUAGAGUGGAAAUUAUUUCUGAUCCAGCUUUGGAAUGAUUCGCUCAUCCCUUGUGGCUUUGGGGUUUGUGUGUGUGUGUGUGUG